rnacentral:rRNA from 1 species
UACGUAGGGCGCAAGCGUUGUCCGGAAUCACUGGGCGUAAAGGGCGCGUAGGCGGCCUGAUAAGUAGGGGGUGAAAUCCUGCGGCUUAACCGCAGGGCUGCCUUCUAAACUGUCGGGCUAGAGCACGGUAGAGGCAGAUGGAAUUCCUGGUGUAGCGGUGGAAUGCGCAGAUAUCAGGAGGAACACCGGUGGCGAAGGCGGGUCUCUGGGCAGUAACUGACGCUGAGGAGCGAAAGCGUGGGGAGCGAACAGG